UUGUUUUUUUUUUUCUAAUUUUAAAACCAUAAAAAUGCAAAAAUAUUUAAUAAGCUAAAAUUUAGCUUAGUGAGAUAACAGGGCCACCAGAUUGACAGUAAAAGCUGCGUGGUAGUAUAAGUCUCGAACACAC